CUGAGUAAAGCGGCGGACGGGUGAGUAAUGCUUGGGAAUCUACCUAGUAGUGGGGGACAACCUGGUGAAAACCAGGCUAAUACCGCAUAAUCCCUACGGGGCAAAGCAGGGGACCUUCGGGCCUUGCGCUAAAUGAUGAGCCUAUGUCGGAUUAGCUUGUUGGUGAGGUAAUGGCUCACCAAGGCGACGAUCCGUAGCUGGUCUGAGAGGAUGAUCAGCCACACUGGAACUGAGACACGGUCCAGACUCC
rnacentral:rRNA from 1 species